rnacentral:rRNA from 1 species
GACGAACGCUGGCGGCGUGCUUAACACAUGCAAGUCGAACGGAAAGGCCCUGCUUUUGUGGGGUGCUCGAGUGGCGAACGGGUGAGUAACACGUGAGUAACCUGCCCUUGACUUUGGGAUAACUUCAGGAAACUGGGGCUAAUACCGGAUAGGAGCUCCUGCUGCAUGGUGGGGGUUGGAAAGUUUCGGCGGUUGGGGAUGGACUCGCGGCUUAUCAGCUUGUUGGUGGGGUAGUGGAUUACCAAGGCUUUGACGGGUAGCCGGCCUGAGAGGGUGACCGGCCACAUUGGGACUGAGAUACGGCCCAGACUCCUACGGGAGGCAGCAGUGGGGAAUAUUGCACAAUGGGCGGAAGCCUGAUGCAGCAACGCCGCGUGCGGGAUGACGGCCUUCGGGUUGUAAACCGCUUUCGCCUGUGACGAAGCGUGGGUGACGGUAAUGGGUAAAGAAGCACCGGCUAACUACGUG